GGAGAGGUGGCCGAGUAGGUCGAAGGCGGUCGCCUGCUAAGCGAUUGUACAGGCGAAAACCUGUACCCCGGGUUCGAAUCCCGGCCUCUCCGCCA
rnacentral:tRNA from 2 species